GUUCACUGUGUCACAUUUAAUUUUGCCUCUUCCAUACCUCACUGCUUCAUUUUCCUCGUAAGCUUUUCAUUUAUAAAUUAUAAUGUUUAGUGACCAUUAGGACAGUUGCUUCCGUGGAUAAAGGUCACGAUGUGUCGAGCGCUCCUCUUCUUCAUCAUCUGCCUGAUCAGCUGUCUGCUGGCAUCGGGGCACUCCAUCAACACCAUACAUUGCCCUCCGGACAUGACAUACGACCCAAUCUUGAAAUACUGCGCGUCGUUCAUAGACACGCCACAGUUACUAGAUUAAGUUCUUGGAAAGAAGGACUUUUCCCGCCACGUUUCUCCAAAAAAUAUACAGAUGGCGUUGUAUACGUUUAACCAUUGUUUGGUGUAAUAUAAUCUAAUGACAGAGGCAUUUAAAAAUAAUAGUUGCUUGACAUUUGGAACAGAUUAUGUAUAGAAAUAUGUUGCUACCUAUGUUGCUUCUCUUUAUUUUGAUCAGAAUAAUAAUGGGUGGAAGAUGUGUUGUGCUGGGGUGUAAUAACAAGGGUCAUCAUUUAUACCCAAAAACAAAGAUAAUAGAUGCAUAUAUCUGUUAUCUAUGAAGUUUCAUUUGACCAGGCUGUAUGGCUAUGUUCCUUUGCCUGCUCCUUCUUGGGGCAAAGAAGAAUGGGCGAAUCUGGUCCAAAAACCUCCACUGACGAGACUUAUAUGUAACGAAAGCAAGUUGACUAUAAUUCGCUUUGACUAUAAUUUUUUCGUUUUUUUUUUAUGUUUCGGAUCCUGGAAAAAAUCCUCUUUAAAAUGAUAUACAUUAUGAGACAUAAUUACUUAUGUAGACUUAGUUAUUCAGCAAUAAAUCUUGAGUCGAUUUUAGUCCCCCUUUGCAUUUUAUCACAUUUUUAGCCAGGACAAACAUGGCCGUAAAAAAAGAACCCCGGGACAGAAUCUGAUACAACUUUGCCAGAAUCAUAGGGAAAGCAUAAGCUUUCAUUACAUAUAUUAUAAGUCUCAUCAGUGGAGGUUCUUGGACCAAGUUUCAUACAAAUGUGCCCAUUGUCAUUUAACAAAAAAAAAAUAUGAUGUUAAACGAAGAUACCUAACGUUGUACAGCGACGUCAAUAUUUUUUUUUGAGGAGCGUAAACUGAAAAGUCUGUCAUUAAAUGGAGAAUAUUACUCAAGUGUAUAAACUUAUUCAGUAAAUAAAACCUAGAGGUUGUUU